rnacentral:tRNA from 1 species
GAAUAAGAAGCAAUAUUUGCAUUUAGUUUCGACCUAAAAAUUUGAGUUAAUCCUUAUUUU